CAAGGAGUUCAAAGUCUGAUCUGAAGUCCUGCUGUCCCAUUGCCGGUACCAGCAGGUUCUGUUCAGAUGCGAUGGCUUGGGAUGGUGUGGCCAGUCCUGUUUCGAUUGAUUGCCUUGUCUUGAAAAGGAAGUUUUGAACUGCAGCCGUAAAAGAUGUCUACCUGGUUUUGGAUGUGAGUUAUGGGCAUCUGAGACCCAAUUGUCAACAGCGAGGUAAUGCUCUGUAGUUCCAAAUGUCUCCUAGGGGUCAGGCUGUCAUUUUAGUAAGUCACGUUUCUGCUGUAGCUGUGCCCAAAGUAGCUGGAGGUUUUUAGAAAGAUGUUUUUAGGAGUCAAGAGAUAAUCCCAUAGACGGUAUGUCUGCUUUGUGUAACGCUCAGCUGUGUGUUUGUGUUGUAUCAGUUCUCAGAACAGCAGGUGGGAAUAGGAGGACGCAUAAUGGAAGUAAAAUGAGACCAUGAGGUUUUUUUUCUUACAUAGACAUGAGAGCUUAUUUCUCGAAGUUAAAAUCUGACAAGCAACUCCUGUACCUGUCCUUAAUUAUAUACCAGCCUGAAUUCACAAAACUCAGCUCUUCAAUUCUCUGGUCUCUGUAGCUGGCUUUAUCUGGCCCAAACCUCCCAUUUCUCCUAUUGAAAAUACCCCCAUUAAAUGCAGAGGGGGCGGAGGAGAUGCUGCAGAUAACCUCUGGGUGAGGCAUUGCUUGGUCCUGGUGUGGGUGUUCCUUCUUCGUGGCACCCGUGAGGACCAGCAGUGCCUCCUCUGGGCUAAACCCAGGAGAUGGGCCACAAGAGGCAGGAAGGAUGAGAUCUGAAUGGGGUCUGUCUGGUAGGCAGAUCCUUAUCCCAAGAGAUGACCAAUGUUUGGCUCUUUUCCUUGAGCUAGACAAGCAGGAAGGAUGGUCCCUAAUGGGAGCAGAGGAAGAGCAAGGAGACAUGUGGCAGAGCAACCUGGAAAGCUUGUCUACGAGCUGGACCUGACUCCAUCCAGGGGAGGAAGCUGAUGCUAAUGGCUCUGCAUGAGAUAACAAAUUAUACAUGAGCAUGUGUUUUCUGUAUUCAUUACAAUAUGUCAUGGGGGUGGGGAAACAGGAUGUAUAGUGAGCGCUUAUUUCUGGAGCCUCAGGAGAGCUGCCCAGAUGUGGAAAAGAAGUAAGGAAGAAAGCUGGAGAUAAAGGAGAGGACCUCCAGGGUGGGGACUGUAAAAGCUGGUCCAGAAUAGGAGUCAUUGUGUUUUGCUCAGCCACCAGCUGGCUGCAAGUGGCAGAGGAGCCUUCCAGAUAAGCUGUGGACAGUAGGAGUGUAAAUAAGGAAUUUGUUCCAAAAGGGUGAAAUAAAAAAAAAAAACAAACCUGAAGGACGCA
rnacentral:lncRNA from 1 species